rnacentral:rRNA from 1 species
UACGUAGGGUGCAAGCGUUGUCCGGAAUUACUGGGCGUAAAGGGCUCGUAGGCGGCCAACUAAGUCAGACGUGAAAUCCCUCAGCUUAACUGGGGAACUGCGUCUGAUACUGGAUGGCUUGGAUUCGGGAGAGGAAUGCGGAAUUCCAGGUGUAGCGGUGAAAUGCGUAGAUAUCUGGAGGAACACCGGUGGCGAAGGCGGGUCUCUGGGCCGAUACUGACGCUGAGGAGCGAAAGCGUGGGGAGCGAACAGG